rnacentral:rRNA from 1 species
GACGAACGCUGGCGGCGUGCCUAAUACAUGCAAGUCGAACGCUUCUUUCCUCCCGAGUGCUUGCACUCAAUUGGAAAGAGGAGUGGCGGACGGGUGAGUAACACGUGGGUAACCUACCCAUCAGAGGGGGAUAACACUUGGAAACAGGUGCUAAUACCGCAUAACAGUUUAUGCCGCAUGGCAUAAGAGUGAAAGGCGCUUUCGGGUGUCGCUGAUGGAUGGACCCGCGGUGCAUUAGCUAGUUGGUGAGGUAACGGCUCACCAAGGCCACGAUGCAUAGCCGACCUGAGAGGGUGAUCGGCCACACUGGGACUGAGACACGGCCCAGACUCCUACGGGAGGCAGCAGUAGGGAAUCUUCGGCAAUGGACGAAAGUCUGACCGAGCAACGCCGCGUGAGUGAAGAAGGUUUUCGGAUCGUAAAACUCUGUUGUUAGAGAAGAACAAGGACGUCAGUAACUGAACGUCCCCUGACGGUAUCUAACCAGAAAGCCACGGCUAACUACGUG